rnacentral:rRNA from 1 species
UACGGGGGGGGCAAGCGUUGUUCGGAAUUACUGGGCGUAAAGGGCGCGUAGGCGGUCUACUAAGUUGGAUGUGAAAACUCUGGGCUUAACCCAGAGCCUGCAUUCAAAACUGAUAGGCUGGAGUUCUGGAGGGGAUAGCGGAAUUCCUGGUGUAGCGGUGAAAUGCGUAGAUAUCAGGAGGAACACCGGUGGCGAAGGCGGCGACCUGGGUCGAUACUGACGCUGAGGAGCGAAAGCGUGGGGAGCGAACAGG